GCCGCGGUAAUACGGAGGGUGCGAGCGUUAAUCGGAAUUACUGGGCGUAAAGCGCAUUGCAGGUGGUUUGUUAAGUCAGAUGUGAAAGCCCGGGGCUCAACCUCGGAAUUGCAUUUGAAACUGGCAAACUAGAGUACUGUAGAGGGGGUAGAAUUUCAGGUGUAGCGGUGAAAUGCGUAGAGAUCUGAAGGAAUACCGGUGGCGAAGGCGGCCCCCUGGACAGAUACUGACACUCAGAUGCGAAAGCGUGGGGAGCAAACAGGAUUAGAUACCCUGGUAG
rnacentral:rRNA from 1 species